UCCGAUAUGGUUUAGUGGCAAGGAUACCUGGCUUUUACCCAGGAGGCUCGGGUUAGAUUUCUGGUAUCGGAA